UACAGAGGGUGCAAGCGUUGUUCGGAAUUACUGGGCGUAAAGGGCUCGUAGGCGGCCAACUAAGUCAGACGUGAAAUCCCUCGGCUUAACCGGGGAACUGCGUCUGAUACUGGAUGGCUUGAGUUUGGGAGAGGGAUGCGGAAUUCCAGGUGUAGCGGUGAAAUGCGUAGAUAUCUGGAGGAACACCGGUGGCGAAGGCGGCAUCCUGGACCAACACUGACGCUGAUGAGCGAAAGCCAGGGGAGCAAACGGG
rnacentral:rRNA from 1 species